GUGUAGCAAUACACAGUGGCGCACGGGUGCGUAACACGUAUGCAACCUACCUAUUAUUGGGGGAUAGCCUUUGGAAACGGAGAUUAAUACCGCAUAAGACAGUGACAUGGCAUCAUGUAGCUGUUAAAGCUUUGGCGAUAAUAGAUGGGCAUGCGUCCAAUUAGUUAGUUGGUGAGGUAAUGGCUCACCAAGACGAUGAUUGGUAGGGGAUCUGAGAGGAUAAUCCCCCACACUGGCACUGAGAUACGGCCCAGACUCCUACGGGAGGCAGCAGUGGGGAAUAUUGCGCAAUGGCCGCAAGGCUGACGCAGCGACGCCGCGUGGGGGAUGAAGCAUUUCGGUGUGUAAACCCCUGUUGCCCGGGACGAACCGCUCGUUUCGACGAGUCUGACGGUACCGGGUGAGGAAGCACCGGCUAACUCCGUGCCAGCAGCCGCGGUAAUACGGAGGGUGCGAGCGUUGUCCGGAAUCACUGGGCGUAAAGGGCGCGUAGGCGGUCUGCUAAGCGUGUGGUGAAAGCUCGGGGCUCAACCCUGAGUCGGCCAUGCGAACUGGUGGACUGGAGCACUGUAGAGGCAGGUGGAAUUCCGGGUGUAGCGGUGGAAUGCGUAGAGAUCCGGAAGAACACCGGUGGCGAAGGCGGCCUGCUGGGCAGUAGCUGACGCUGANGCGCGACAGCGUGGGGAGCAAACAGGAUUAGAUACCCUGGUAGUCCACGCCGUAAACGAUGGGGACUAGGUGCUUGGGGGAACGACCCCCCGAGUGCCGGCGCUAACGCAUUAAGUCCCCCGCCUGGGGAGUACGGCCGCAAGGCUGA
rnacentral:rRNA from 1 species